rnacentral:rRNA from 1 species
GCGUGCUUAACACAUGCAAGUCGAACGAAGCACUCUAUUUGAUUUUCUUCGGAAAUGAAGAUUUUGUGACUGAGUGGCGGACGGGUGAGUAACGCGUGGGUAACCUGCCUCAUACAGGGGGAUAACAGUUGGAAACGACUGCUAAUACCGCAUAAGCGCACAGGAUUGCAUGAUCCAGUGUGAAAAACUCCGGUGGUAUGAGAUGGACCCGCGUCUGAUUAGCCAGUUGGCAGGGUAACGGCCUACCAAAGCGACGAUCAGUAGCCGACCUGAGAGGGUGACCGGCCACAUUGGGACUGAGACACGGCCCAAACUCCUACGGGAGGCAGCAGUGGGGAAUAUUGCACAAUGGGGGAAACCCUGAUGCAGCGACGCCGCGUGAGCGAAGAAGUAUUUCGGUAUGUAAAGCUCUAUCAGCAGGGAAGAAGAAAUGACGGUACCUGACUAAGAAGCACCGGCUAAAUACGUGCCAGCAGCCGCGGUAAUACGUAUGGUGCAAGCGUUAUCCGGAUUUACUGGGUGUAAAGGGAGCGCAGGCGGAAGGCUAAGUCUGAUGUGAAAGCCCGGGGCUCAACCCCGGUACUGCAUUGGAAACUGGUCAUCUAGAGUGUCGGAGGGGUAAGUGGAAUUCCUAGUGUAGCGGUGAAAUGCGUAGAUAUUAGGAGGAACACCAGUGGCGAAGGCGGCUUACUGGACGAUAACUGACGCUGAGGCUCGAAAGCGUGGGG